GGAUUAACUUGUCCAGUUGUACCAUAAACUUCAUGUUGAUAUCUUCUUCCCCCAGGGAUUGAAUUACAGCACUGGCAUGAUGGUAUGCCUGAGCUAGCAGACACAAACUAAUUGUUGCCAUCGGUGAAUGACACCAAGAAGAAUACAGAGAUAUGAACAAGUCUUUCCCAGCAGGAUUUACUAGUGAUUGCUUUAGGACAGAUCGUAAUCCAGCCAGUUCAGCCGCAGUGAGUAAAAUCAAAUUCAGAGCCUGAACCAUAAUCGAAGCAAAGUCCAAGUCAUC
rnacentral:misc_RNA from 1 species